rnacentral:rRNA from 1 species
GCCCAGCCGUAAACUUUUAUUUACAUCUUAAUCGCCAGGGAACUACGAGCUAAGCUUAAAACCCAAAGGACUUGACGGUACCCCAUAUCCCCCUAGAGGAGCCUGUCCUAUAAUCGAUAAUCCACGUUUAACCUCACCAUUUUUAGUUAAUCAGCCUGUAUACCUCCGUCGUCAGCUUACCACGUGAGCGCCAAUUAGUGAGCUUAAUGUUACUUCACCAACACGUCAGGUCAAGGUGCAGCAAAUGAAAUGGGAAGAGAUGGGCUACACUUUCUAAUGUAGAAGAAACGAAAAACUACCUAUGAAACCUAGUUGGAAGGCGGAUUUAGCAGUAAAAAGAAAUCAUCAUGUUCAUUUUAACUCGGCACUGGGGUGUGUACACACCGCCCGUCACCCU